AUGGACGCCUCCCCCGAGCUGCAACAGUUCCUGGAGCAAGAGAAGCAGAAGAUGGUGAUGAGUGAGAUGGUAACCAAGUUGACAAAUGUGUGCUGGGACAAAUGCAUCACCAGCACCCCAGGAAGCAAGUUCAGCUCCGGUGAAACUACCUGCCUGACCAAUUGUGCUCAGAGGUAUCUUGACAUGAGCAUGAUAAUUGCGAAGAGGUUCCAGAUGCAGUAG
rnacentral:rRNA from 1 species